rnacentral:rRNA from 1 species
GACAGAGGGUGCAAGCGUUAAUCGGAAUUACUGGGCGUAAAGGGCUCGUAGGCGGUUGUUUAAGUCGGAUGUGAAAUCCCUGGGCUUAACCUAGGACGGUCAUUCGAGACUGAACAGCUAGAGUUGGAUAGAGGAUAGCGGAAUUUCCGGUGUAGCGGUGAAAUGCGUAGAUAUCGGAAGGAACACCAAUGGCGAAGGCAGCUAUCUGGAUCCAAACUGACGCUAAGGAGCGAAAGCGUGGGUAGCAAACAGG